AAUGGGAGUUCACAUUUCUAGAUAGUUUUUAACAUUUUCUACAUUUGGAUUCUUUACUAUACUCCUUAAUGUCUGAUUUUCUUUCAAUGUUAUAAAUGAAAUUUCACUUUCAUACUGUAUCUUUCUUCCCUCCCUCUCCCCUCCCCUUCUCUGAUCUCGUUCUCUCUCUCUCUCUCUCUCUCUCUCUCUCUCUCUGACAAGGCUUUUUUGUGGCACUGGAUGACCUGAUACUUGCUCAGGGUAGCUUCAGAAUUGUGGUAGUCCUUCUGCCUCUGCCCCCCAAGUGCUAGGUUUACAGACAUAAGCACAUCUUUUUGUCUGACUGUAGGAAUAAAGUGUACACAGCUAUUAGACUGCCAAAACUCUUAUGGUCUACUGUUUCAAACAAGAUUUGGGGAACCAGUCUUGUAGCAAUGAGGCAGUAACUCAAUGCAGCUACUGCUGCUAGGAGCAUUUCAAAUGCUUGGUCUAUAGUUCUGAAAGUCACAAAACUCUAAAAACUGGAAGUACUUUUUUGACUCAUUUGGUGGCCAAAACUCAGCCUACUGCAAAGCCAAGUAUCACUUUCAUUUAUCACUUAAAACAGAUAUGUAAACACAACAAAAUAGGUACUAUUUGUAUAUCUCUCAAAGCCUGCUGAAGGCCACCUACUAUUCUGUCUUCCUAAAUAAAGAGUCCUUAAACACACAUGGACCAAUGGGUUUUGAAAAACAUAUUGUAGACUUGAGUCUGAUAAAGUAAAAUAAAUAUCUGCAUAUGCAACAGUUCUGAGAAUAUUCCUUAGAGAAACCACACACAAACAUGGAAGAAGCCUGUCCAAGUGCUAUUAUGUCCCCAAAAGCACUACUUACAAGGAUGAAAAGCAGACAUGUUCACCAGUGGGAUUCUGGGUCAGUUACAAUGCAUUCACCCAGUGGAAUGCUACCUAGCUGUUAAGAUGAGCUAUAGCUACAUAUAUCAACAUACUGCAUCAAGAAGAGUGUUGAAUAAAAAAGGAAAAUCUCUUUGAUCUCUCUUCUUUAUGCUAGAAAACUGCAUAUUACAACUUAGAUUUUGAAAGCAAAUUCAUGGUAGUAGCUAUCUCUUGAGUAAACAACAGUAGGCAUGCAUUC
rnacentral:lncRNA from 1 species